rnacentral:rRNA from 1 species
CCUACGGGAGGCAGCAGUGGGGAAUAUUGGGCAAUGGGCGCAAGCCUGACCCAGCGACGCCGCGUGAGGGAUGAAGGUCUUCGGAUUGUAAACCUCUUUCAGUGGGGAAGAAGCGAAAGUGACGGUACCCAAAGAAGAAGCACCGGCUAACUAUGUGCCAGCAGCCGCGGUAAUACAUAGGGUGCAAGCGUUGUCCGGAAUUAUUGGGCGUAAAGAGCUUGUAGGUCGUUCAUCACGUCGGAUGUGAAAAUCUGAGGCUCAACCUCAGACCUGCAUUCGAUACGAGUGAACUAGAGUUUGGUAGGGGAGACUGGAAUUCCUGGUGUAGCGGUGGAAUGCGCAGAUAUCAGGAGGAACAUCAAUGGCGAAGGCAGGUCUCUGGGCCAAUACUGACACUGAGGAGCGAAAGCGUGGGGAGCGAACAGGAUUAGAUACCCUGGUAGUCCACGCCGUAAACGGUGGGCACUAGUUGUGGGGACCUUCCACGGUUUCCGCGACGCNGCUACGCAUAGUGCCCGCCGCGGGAGGUACGAGCGCGAGAAGUUAAACGUACUUAAAUUAGUAGUUAGUUACGGCGUUGAGACGCGACGGACGACGACGAGGAGGAGG